GAUGAACGCUGGCGGCGUGCCUAAUACAUGCAAGUCGAGCGAACAGACGAGGAGCUUGCUCCUCUGACGUUAGCGGCGGACGGGUGAGUAACACGUGGAUAACCUACCUAUAAGACUGGGAUAACUUCGGGAAACCGGAGCUAAUACCGGAUAAUAUAUUGAACCGCAUGGUUCAAUAGUGAAAGACGGUUUUGCUGUCACUUAUAGAUGGAUCCGCGCCGCAUUAGCUAGUUGGUAAGGUAACGGCUUACCAAGGCGACGAUGCGUAGCCGACCUGAGAGGGAGAUCGCCCAAGCGGGAAUGGGAACAGGGUCAAGACGCCUAGGGAGGGAGAAGGAGGGAAACCUUCGAGAAGGGGCGAAGGCCGGAAGGGGCACGGCGGCGGGAUGGAGAAAGGGCUGGGGAGCGAAAAAUCUGUUUAUGAGGAAAAAAAAAAGGGGAAAGAAAAAAUGCCCGUCUGGACGUUACCUAAAAAGAAACCCACGCCUACCCACGUC
rnacentral:rRNA from 1 species